rnacentral:lncRNA from 1 species
CUUUAGUAAUCCAGUGGCUUCUGGUUUCCAGGGUGUGACUUUUCAGGGUUUCCAGUUAGAAUAUAAAUAACUUUUACAAUCAAAAUGUUUUUUCUUUGUUAGAUGAUUGUGAUUAAAUGGGGAAAAAAGCUGGAUCAGCUAUCUUAUAAUAAACUGAUUUAUCUCCAGGUCACUGCCCAUCCUGGCGAGCAGCAGCAGGUGGUCAGGGUCAAGGGUCAAGCUUUCUGUAACCAUGAGGCAGGCGGUGGAGGCUCAGGUGUUAAGUCCGCACUGUGAGUUGGGAGAACACGGUUUGCGUCAGAUCCUGUCUGACGUCAUAGAUGAGGUGAGGCAGUCUGUGAGUCAGGACAUCGACGGAGCAGAGAUCCUCCACAGUCUGCUCAACGCCGCCUGGCUGCAGUCACUUCUCAAGGUUUAUGAGUGUUUGCAAAGAUAUCUAAGAGAUUCUCCUGCACCAGCUCUGGAUUACUCUUCGGGACUCUCGCUUGAGGUUCAUCUUCCAAAACAAUUUAAUGUAGUUGUCAUGUUCAAAUGUUGUUUGGUAGGGUUUUUUUUAAGGUAUUGAAUGUUUCUGUCUUUAUAGUUGCUGAUUGAUAUCAGGUCCUUACCAAGUUGCUCUGAAGAGGCCAAAGAGCUGUACCAUCUUCUGCGACAGCCACACCUGCAGGUUAAUCAACCACUAUUGGUUUCAUGUUGAAGUACAGAAGAGGUUAAGGGCCUAUAAGGCCCAUUGU